CAUCUGACUGGCCACUUCUGUACUGAACGGGACAUUUUGAUUGCAACUAUACUGGAACUAAUAGGAAUCAUCUGGGUUUAUGGAGGGAACAGAUUCCUUGAAGAUAUAAAAAUGAUAAUGGAACAGAGGUGGAUAUUCCUGCUGCAGUGGAAAACUUGCUGGUUUGUCAUUAUGUCUAUAUGACAUUAUGCCUAUUAUUUUUAUUGCAAUUUUUAUCUGGACACUAGUGAAAUAUCAUAGACUUGAUUAUGCCAAAAUCUUGUGCCCUGACUGAGAAGUUGCUCAAGGCUGGUGUAUGAUUAUUUUCUGUAUUAUUGCAUUUCAAUUAUGGCUAUCAUAGAAAUAAUUCAGGCUGAAGGAAACAUCUUUCUGUGUGUUGUAAGCUGCUGUAAAACAGUUUUCAACUAGAGCCCAUACCUGGAAGGACAUCAUGGGGAGAAAUAAAAAGGCACAGUAGAUCCU
rnacentral:lncRNA from 1 species